GCUUUUUGGGAAGAUGAUCGAUUUAAUUUCGCAAGAAAUUGAAUAGGAAAGUCCGAGCUCCCUAGAAAAAGGUAAUGGAUAACGUCCAUCUGAACCGUAGCAAUGCGGUUUACGGGAUAGGGCCACAGAGACAAUACUAAUCCCGACUUGUCGGGACAAAAGGUGAAAAGUGUAUGAAUGUUUUUACCCUCGAGAUAAAAGCAAUCAUACUUUGCCCAUAGCAAUAUGGUGCAGCGGCAACCCCUACCUGGAGAAAGAGCAGCGUUUUCUGAGCAAUCAGGAUUCGAAAAGUUCGCUCGUUAGAGCCGUGUAGUAAUAUGCGGUCGAGAUAAAUGAUCGUCGUCUAUUCUGUAAAAGGAAUAGAAACAAAAUUCGGCUUACGAACAAAAAGCAUAA
rnacentral:RNase_P_RNA from 1 species